GAUGAACGCUGGCGGCGUGCCUAACACAUGCAAGUCGAACGGAAAGACGAGAAUUUUGUGGCGCUCAUGUUAGGCGAGGGGGUGAGAGAAACGUGUGUAUCCUGUCCUUGUAUGUGUGGGAACAUCAGGGGAAUCCGGAGCUAAUACGAUAUAAGCUUUUGAACCGCGUGGUUGAAUAGAUAGAUACGGCGUUGCUGUCUCUUAUAGAUGCUUCUGCGCUGGAUUAGCUAGUUGUUAAGGUCACGGCUUACCAAGGCAACGAUGCGUAGGAGACCUGAGAGGAUGAUCGGCCACACUGGAACUGAGACACGGUCCAGACUCCUACGGGAGGCAGCAGUAGGGAAUCUUGGGCAAUGGGCGAGAGCCUGACGGAGCAACGCCGCGUGAGGGAUGAAGGCCUUCGGAUCGUAAAACGCUGUUAUUAGGGAAGAACAUAUGUGUAAGUAACUGUGCACAUCAUGACGGUACCGAAUGAGAAAGCCACGGCUAACUACGUG
rnacentral:rRNA from 1 species